AUGCUCACUCCAGCAGCACAAAUACUAGAAUUGGAAUGAUACGAGAAGAUGAGCAUGGCCCCUACGCAAAUUUGUCCCACAUUUUAAAAAUUAAAU